rnacentral:piRNA from 1 species
AAGCACCAGGGCCAGGAACACAAGAGAGA